rnacentral:lncRNA from 1 species
AGGGUGGCAGGUCGGGUUUGGCUUCGUCUCUAGGCCCGGUCCUAGACUCUGCUUUCCACCUGCGGUCCCUCGGCCCACCCAGCUCUCCUCUGAGCCAGGUUUCUGCCACCAUCCCAGCCCAUACCCGCCUCCUGGGCUCAGGGAGCCCCAACUGUUCUUUGGGAGGACAGACGGUUUUUUGUUUUCCCUUUGGCAAAAGAUGAAUUCUCUUUUCUGCGAAAAUAAAGGGAUGGAGGAGGAGGAAGAGGAGGAGGAGAAGGAGGAGGAGAAAAAGGGUGAAAUCUCAUAAAAAUAAAAGCCCGGAUUUCAACCUCA